GACGAACGCUGGCGGCGUGCUUAACACAUGCAAGUCGAACGGAAAGGCCCUGCUUUUGUGGGGUGCUCGAGUGGCGAACGGGUGAGUAACACGUGAGUAACCUGCCCUUGACUUUGGGAUAACUUCAGGAAACUGGGGCUAAUACCGGAUAGGAGCUCCUGCUGCAUGGUGGGGGUUGGAAAGUUUCGGCGGUUGGGGAUGGACUCGCGGCUUAUCAGCUUGUUGGUGGGGUAGUGGCUUACCAAGGCUUUGACGGGUAGCCGGCCUGAGAGGGUGACCGGCCACAUUGGGACUGAGAUACGGCCCAGACUCCUACGGGAGGCAGCAGUGGGGAAUAUUGCACAAUGAGCGGAAACCUGAUGCAGCAACGCCGCGUGCGGGAUGACGGCCUUCGGGUUGUAAACCGCUUUCGCCUGUGACGAAGCGUGAGUGACGGUAAUGGGUAAAGAAGCACCGGCUAACUACGUG
rnacentral:rRNA from 1 species